UACUCCUACGGGAGGCAGCAGUGGGGAAUCUUCCGCAAUGGACGAAAGUCUGACGGAGCAACGCCGCGUGAACGAUGACGGCCUUCGGGUUGUAAAGUUCUGUUAUACGGGACGAAUGGUACGACGGUCAAUACCCGUCGUAAGUGACGGUACCGUAAGAGAAAGCCACGGCUAACUACGUGCCAGCAGCCGCGGUAAUACGUAGGUGGCAAGCGUUGUCCGGAAUUAUUGGGCGUAAAGGGCGCGCAGGCGGCGUCGUAAGUCGGUCUUAAAAGUGCGGGGCUUAACCCCGUGAGGGGACCGAAACUGCGAUGCUAGAGUAUCGGAGAGGAAAGCGGAAUUCCUAGUGUAGCGGUGAAAUGCGUAGAUAUUAGGAGGAACACCAGUGGCGAAAGCGGCUUUCUGGACGACAACUGACGCUGAGGCGCGAAAGCCAGGGGAGCAAACGGGAUUAGAUACCCCGGUAGUCCUGGCCGUAAACGAUGGAUACUAGGUGUAGGAGGUAUCGACUCCUUCUGUGCCGGAGUUAACGCAAUAAGUAUCCCGCCUGGGGAGUA
rnacentral:rRNA from 1 species